UCGAACCCUCACUAACGAGGUGAAAGUUCAGGUAGCCAACCAACUGAGCUACUAAGUCCCUACUCCUCCAUGUAUCUCUUCUGUUGCACUGUAUAUCUCCCAAAGAAGAUAAUUUUUAAAAUUUAAAGUGUCUAUAUUAUUUUCUAAUUCUACACGAUUGGUUGUUUCUAAAUAAUUAACGUAUUCUAUUAGUAAUUUUUUUAUUUUUCUAGUACUUUUGAGUUUUUGGCGGGUAAGAUGUGUAAUAAGAUAAUGUAAUCUUAUAUAUUUAAUAAAACUAUGUUGUCUCGUAGAAACUAUGGUCCAAAAUUUUUUUGGCUCUGAUACCAAAUAUAGAGGGGGGUAUAUCGUAGAAAAAUUAUCGAAAAAUAUAAAUUUUUUUUUUUAAAGUUUUGGAUGGUUGUUGUAUAUCAAAUUUUAACAAUCCUACUCGGUACAUUUCGCUCCUUGAAUAUCUUUUAAUCAUGCAUUUGUCCUUAUAUUUCUAAGUUUCUGUGUUUUCUCCUUUUUUUUUUUUGGCUUAUAUGUAUAUAUCUAUAUAGAAUAGAAGAGGCAAAAAAUGAAUAGGAUGACAAUUGUCAUCACCACAAAAAAUUGAAUUUAAAAAUACACAAUAAAUAAAAUAAAACAAUGCAACAUUUAAAUAAAAGUUGCAAGGGGAAUGAGCGUGUCAGAAGAUUAAAAAAUUAAAAUAACUGCAAAUAGAUAACUGCAAAAACCCAUGUUUACAAAUUUUUUAGAUAACCAUACAACACAACUUCAAGACUUACAAAGUAAAGAAAAAAAACCAGAUAACUGCAAUCCAAAGUUAUUAACAUUACAUGCAGAGACCUUUUCAAAUUUUUCCUCCACACUUGCGGUUUCCUUGCCACUUCAAAUCUAUCACCAGCAUCCAAGCUCCAGUUUUCCCAGGUAAGUUGCCCAACAUGUUUCAGCUACAUGUUUGUUUAUGAAGGUUUUUAAUGGGAUGGAAUUGGUUAUUUAUUUAAUGAGCUAUAUGAAGGCUUUCAAGUUUGGAGGUCUUUUUUCUCUAACUCCUUAAGACAAUGGAUGAAAGUUCAACCUAUAAUCAGGGUAGGCUAAAAAAUCGUUGUCAUCGCCUGAUAACAAGUGAAGGCAUGAACAUCUUUUUUAAAAGUUUUAAUCGCCAUAUCUCUGUAUUAUCAUGUAGGCCUUAUAUUGAGUUUGUGAUUCAGCAGAUAUGUACAAAUAGAAGUUAUUCAACUUUCAAUUUUACAACAAGUGGUACUCUCAAUUCCUUUUCCCUUUCAGUUUCGGUUCAUUUUUUUUUUCCGUUGUCUGGAAACAAAUCUGUAGAAUUAGAAUUUCUUUGGCCUGCUUUGGUAUGUAUCCAUUCCUUUUCUCUUUCAUAGUAACAUACUUUGGCACUACAUAUUUUGGUAUGUAUCAGUUUUAAUUCGUUCUUGCUAUCUUUUUCGGGUGGCUUGAUAGUUUUCUUAGAAUUAGUCUGAUUGUGAUAAUUCUUGAAUCCUUUUAGAAACGAGUAUAUCGACAAGGAUAAAGAGGAUUAAUAUAAGGUUACCUUAAAGGAACUAACCGUUUUACAUAUUUGUAAAGUUUCAAUCAUCUUUAAACGAGAAGAGGAUAGUUCAAGGGCAGGAAUUCUUAAAUCAUUUUCGAGACGAAAAACCAAAAGGUAUAAAUGAUAAUCAGAUUACGAACUCUAUGAAUUUAUCGAGUUGAUUAUGUUUAGUUUUUAUUAUCCACUAUCCUUGAUAAGUAAAUCUCUUCCAGACUUAGUAAAACUGUUCCUUACUUUUUCUGAGAUGUUGAAAUAAUCCAGCUUUCCUACCAUCAAUUAAUCAUUUUAUUUGUAAAGUUCUGUGGCACAAGGUUUAGGAUUUAGCAUUUAAGAAAUUUUACAGUACCUGGCUAUAAGCUUUGAUGCCCUCUAUUUAGAUUGAAAACAGAUAUUAUAAAAAAAAACAUAAAAGCAAAAGAUAUUUGACAUGAUGAGAAGGUUUAACAACUAACUCAUCAGUAGAUAAGGACGUUGCAGAUUUGAAGUGAUUAUUCAAAGAGAGGUUGCUCCCGCGAGUUUGUCAGGGCAUAUGUGGCUGGAAGUUGAUGGGAAGAAAUACAAACAUCAAAGUUGUGCAUAUUUGUUCCUGCUGAAAAGGCUGUUGAUUGAUCACUUCGAUGUUCAGGAACAAUGCUAGCAGCUGCUACAAUCUUUACUGCACUAUGCACUCUCGGUGUGGCUAAGGAGUGGAAUAAAAGCUACGAGAAGUGUAGCAGCUAUGUUUACACAGCUUUUGGAAUGCCCUAAAUUGAUGGUUUCUUUCCGUUAGAAGGCCGCAAUUGGGAAGCUUACUGGCAUGCAGUGAGAGUACAACACUUCUAAAUGUGGAUAUGCUCCUAGAUGUGAACCAGCUUCUUUCUAUUAGAAGCAAGGUUCUAGGAUGAUGUAGGAAAAGUUGUGCACACAUGAUGCAAUGAUGAGCAACAUAAGUUGCCCCUGGCUAAUGAGGGCGGAGGGUGUUUGCGUUCUUUUGUUGCGGAGAGAAUCAUGUUUUAUUCGUUUAUUUGGUUUAUUCACGUACAUUGUUGACAUUGCUGGUAUUUUGUGAAAUCUUUUUUUUCUCACUUUUUCUCGAAACUUUCGGCUUCCACCAGAUUCCUCCUCAUAUUUUGUUAUUAGGAUGACAAUCCAGUCUUUGCAAUCACAAUCAACAAAUACUAAAUUGAUUCAUAUUGUUGAAUAAACAUGUUUAAUUGGAGUGAAGCGGGUUGGGGGAAAUUUGGCGCAUACGUAUUCAUCAUCUUAUCGUUUUCAUCCAGAAAAAUUUCGGUAUUACUUAGAGAUAUCAUUUGGAAUGCAUAUUUGCCAAUUUGGUUGAAAGAUUAUUUAUUUUAAUUCUUAUAUUUUUCUAUUUUUUGGACUUGGCAAGAAUUAUUAAUGCAUGAUACAAGGGAGAUAUCUCCGAGCUAUAGUAGACAUGGAGCGAAUUACAUUCACCAAAAGUUGGAGUCGGGCAAUUGCGAGUCAACAUAAUCCUUUAUAUAUUGACACAUUACAGGAGAUUCUUGCUUGAAGAAACAUAGUUGUCUUUUGAAUUUUGAGUAGAUCUUUUCCUAAUUUAUAGAAUACUUCUGUUAAGGAGUAAGGUGAUUUUGUUUUAGAAACAACAUCAAGCGGGUGCAAGUUUUUACAAGGCAAAAGCCAUACUUUAAAUCUUACACUAAUUUUUUAUUUCAUUUUUCGCACCAAAAUCCAUAUGUACCCGCUGAUAUUAUACCUUGAUGUCGUUAGACUAUUGAGCAAACAGCAUCAACACACUCAUCUAUCUAA